UAAUUUACCCCUUCAUUCUUCAAAUUAUAUUCCCAAAUGUUGCCUCUGGUUCUUCUCCUUCCUUCUCCAAUCUAAAUCUCUUUGCCCAUUGAUCUUCUUCCUAAAAACAAAGCGAAAAUGAGAGAGUGCAUUUUGAUCCACAUUAGACAGGCCGGUAUUGAGGGAGUUCUACUGCCUUGACCAUGACAUUGAACGGCGGAGCGAGAAGGAAAUUGUUCAAAUCUAAGCCAAUCCUUGAUGAAAAUUGGCGAGGCUGGUCGCGUUAGAACCGCUAGGAUGAGGCGAAUCAAAUGAUGGUAGUCCGCUAGGAAUUCGUCCGAAUGGCGAUGAAUCAAGGCGAGAACCGUUCAGAGUUCGUGAUCGGAGCCAACUCUUUCCGAUCAAUAAAAAUCCAAAUUUAUGGUAUGAAAAUAUUCAUCUUGGUGAGAGGGUUGCAACGGUAUAUGAUAUGCCCAGGAAUUCAUUGGGACGACGCCGGAAUCUUAGAGAGAAGAUUCUGACCGAAAAAGGGGGCGAUCCCAUCGACUUCGGCCGGUGCGUGGGCUGCUGGAAAUAAUCACAAUAGAGUGAGUGGUCAAGCUUUGGAAUUCAAGCAGCUCAAUAUUCCUUAUCACUUUUGUUGAGUCUGCUCUUCCAAAGAGCAAGUACGAAGAAGAUGUUUACAUAAACAAUCAUACAAGUGUUUGGGGUUCAUGGUGGAAGGAUCAUCAAUGGGGUUACAAGUGCUGCCAUCAGACAGUUAGAAACAGCUAUUGUACAGGGGCUGCUAGUAUUGAGGUUGCUGAAGCUGCAGCAGAUCUUAUGAAAGCUAAUAUUGCUUGGAAAGAGGCUACUGAAGGAGGACGAGAGGAGGAGAGAAGAGCGGGAUGAGAGGAAACGCAAGUACUUUAUCCCAAUUGGCACAAUCCCAAUAAUAGUCCCAAAUUAAUCGGGUUAAAUCCAUUUUGACCCCCUGUGAUAUAACAAAAUAUCAAAAACCCCUUUAUGAAAUUUUUAAUAUCAAAAGUCAUCCCUAUAUUACCAAUAAAUAAUCACACCACUCCUGAUCAAUUUGAAUCUAUUUUUUUAGAAACAAUGACUAAAAUCUAGUCAAACCGGUCAACUAGGCUUAUUAAUAUAUAAUUAUUUUAAUUUAUAAUUUUUAACAUAUAUUUAU